rnacentral:rRNA from 1 species
AUUGAACGCUGGCGGCAGGCCUAACACAUGCAAGUCGAGCGGAUGAAGGGAGCUUGCUCCUGGCUUCAGCGGCGGACGGGUGAGUAAUGCCUAGGAAUCUGCCUGGUCGUGGGGGAUAACGUCCGGAAACGGGCGCUAAUACCGCAUACGUCCUGAGGGAGAAAGUGGGGGAUCUUCGGACCUCACGCUAUCAGAUGAGCCUAGGUCGGAUUAGCUAGUUGGUGGGGUAAAGGCCUACCAAGGCGACGAUCCGUAACUGGUCUGAGAGGAUGAUCAGUCACACUGGAACUGAGACACGGUCCAGACUCCUACGGGAGGCAGCAGUGGGGAAUAUUGGACAAUGGGCGAAAGCCUGAUCCAGCCAUGCCGCGUGUGUGAAGAAGGUCUUCGGAUUGUAAAGCACUUUAAGUGGGGAGGAAGGGCAGUAAGUGAAUACCGUGCUGUUUUGACGGUACCAACAGAAUAAGCACCGGCUAACUUCGUG